GGUCCACCACGAUUGUCCAUGUUGCGAUGAGCGUCUCUCCUGCGCAUGCGAUGUUCCAGAAUAAUCCAGCCGGCCUCAGCCAAAGAAGAAGAGCAUGGGCACUUCAAGCCAGGAGAGCUUUUGUGGUGCUUGUUCGUUCGGUUAUGGUGAUGGAAAACCACCAAUGCUCAACCCAGGGAUGUGCGCUUGAAAGCUGUGCUCUAAUAGGUGCUUGCGUGCAAACAGCUUCCACCUGGUACAUCGUAAAGCUUCGGCCCGCUCCCUGGCAUUCGUGGAUCGUCGCAAGGGACAUCUAUUCGAGGGCCACCAGUGUCUCCAAGACAAGACCAAAAGCUUCGGCUGGCCAAAAGGGCGUCCAGCCACUGACUUUUACUUGCUUGGUGCUUACACAAGUUGCAACUUGCAUGAGUGUGAGAACCCAAAAUCAGAUAAUUUCAGCAUGUAAUAGCAUUAUUUUGCAAAAGCUUGUUUCUAAAGUGAAUGCUGCUGAAUGUUUUGCAGUAUUGGAUGUGGGAAAAAAAAUCGGUAUACGAGAAAAGCUUCUUCGCUUUGUUCUGGUACCUAAUGGGAAGGGGCCUGACCACUCCAAUUUUAAGAAGCUUAAAUUAUAUAGGAAUCGCAACAGAGAACCUUGGAGCCCAGGGGUAAGAGAGUGCAGCCUCAGCGAGCAGUGCAUACAGCAGUGUUCAAGCAUACGUCGGACAGCAGAAUGCUAAUGCCAUCUCUGUACUCUGUGGCUCUCGUAGCCCUAAAUUAAUGGCACAUUUGUUUGGUUGUCUUCAAGCGCUCCAGAGUGCUCUGGCAACGUAUGUCACAUUUGGCUGGCUCUUUCAGAGCACUGCACCCAACACUGAAAGAUCUGAGGCACUCUCACUUCUGACCUCGGAGUGUGACUGACAUCUGAUCAUGUGACUACUGUGCCUCAUUUGUUUGCAGCAGAAGACACGUUUCCCCUUCUGGCCUACGAUUGCUCUAGUGAGCGGCUGCACGUCCCUCUCGAAUAAAGAGUGGGAUCCGCAUUGCUGCAAUCCUAGUCAUGAGCAUUGUGGCACCCAGCUAGAUGUACCACAAGCCUGUCAAGUGCAUGCUCUGUGCCUCAGAUCAGAAACUGCAUGGGAACCGUGGCGACAGUUUGUGAGUUCCUUCAUGCGAGUCCAAAAUGCCUAGCUGCCCUAGGUAUCCAAAUUGAAAAGUUAAUGCCAACAGCUUGCGUGAUGUGCUUGAAGUCACUUUGUCCAGCCCAAUGGGUCCAGAGGCACAAUGCUCUCAACGUGCUUGUAAAUCUUUUCCACUACAUUUGGUCUACUGUCCAUGACAUUAGCGACAACUGGAACGAGAUGCUCAAAUCCUACUGAGCGCUUUGCAGAGAAGCGAAUUUCUCGUCUCUUUUUGUGGUUGAAAAGAUUUUCACUUUAAGCUUGCCAUUACACAAAUACUUGCAAAUAGUAAACAUGGAUCUUUCAUCUAAUCUCAGGUUGGCUGAAGACGUUUUGUUAUCUGGAUGUAACCUUCCAUCAGGAGCUCACGAGGUGUUCGUGAACUUUUUGAGCGUAUUUUGUCAGUUUAUGAACAGCUUGGCUUUUGGCCAUGCUCAAAUGACAAAAACGUGCUCAAAUGUGCCUUCGUAGACUCUGGAGGAGUACUUCCAUCAUUGUGUAUUAAUUCCAUUUCUCGAAGCUUUCACAGAACAAAUUGAGAUAUUCAUGAACCACAAGAGCACUUGCUCGACUGGAAGUUUUCCAGCCUUCCUUUCACUUGUUGCGAAGCAAACAUGACAAAAAUGCAAUGUGUAUUCUUUGUGUGAGCUGCCAUUCUGAUGUCACAGACUCUGUGUUGUCUUCUGUGGGAGAGGUACAUCUCUGGUACAGAAAACUUCAGCACCUUGAAAAACGCCCAAUGGGUCUGAUGGAAGCCCUUGAAUUCUGCGUGGCUAGCAUUUUCCAAAAGGCUCUUCAGAUAAUGGCCAUUCUCCCAGUAACUACACCUACAAGUGAGAGCACUACUGCCUUCAAAAGCCAGUGUCAAAUUAUAGUGCGAACUGUUACCUACCACCGAGAGAAAGGAAAGUGCCAACUCCAAAGUGCACGCACUCUACCCUACCGGUGAAGGCAGCUGCCAAAACAGCUAGCAUGUUUCAAACCAAGUGCUUAUGCAAUGCCUGGAAGGAUCCCGAGACUGUUUCUGCCAAUGCACACCGAACAUGCGAGAAGGGACUCAUUCUUUGCCAAGCCUCUGCUAUGCUGUAAAGGGAUGAGUCAUAUUCAAGAAUCUAGAAUCUGGACGCUACCCGAUGUAAGCAUGCGGAGAAGAGCAGUCAGUCAGUCAGGGAAGAUGUCAUAUGAAAUGAUGCAGUGCACUCAGGCACGACAGCAGUCUCUCGGGCAGUGGCACCGAGAAGGCACAUGUGAUCAGAUGCCUAAGGAAUGGGGAAUUCCUUGCUAACGCUACAUUGUACGUGGGCCCAUGUGUGUGCAGGUUUCCAGAAGAGGAAUCUUUGAGAAACAACCCAAGGAUCGCCAUGGACUGGACUGUGAAAAGUCUGGCAAAUAUGAAAGGGAUUAAGUGUUGUUGAAUAUUCUGUAAAGCCUGACCUUGUAUUUGAGUGCGAUUUGAUUCAUUGUUUUGUUACAAAACAACUCGGAUGGGUUGUUAAACCAUCUGAGUAUUGUGAUUGUAUUGUGAUUUAACCAGCGAAGUGUGCAUGUAUGUGAGAUAUUUGUACUGCCUUAAUGGAGAAUAUAAAAUUUUUUUAGUU
rnacentral:lncRNA from 1 species